GACCACGUAGCUCAGUUGACAGCUAGCAUUGGGCUAGUAUUCCAAACUGAGGUCGUAGGUUCGAUUCCCACCGUGGUCA